UACGUAGGGGGCAAGCGUUGUCCGGAAUCAUUGGGCGUAAAGAGCGUGUAGGCGGCUCGGUAAGUCCGCUCUGAAAGCCCGGGGCUCAACCCCGGGAGGCGGGCGGAUACUGUCGGGCUAGAGUCCGGAAGAGGCGAGUGGAAUUCCUGGUGUAGCGGUGAAAUGCGCAGAUAUCAGGAGGAACACCGAUGGCGAAGGCAGCUCGCUGGGACGGUACUGACGCUGAGACGCGAAAGCGUGGGGAGCGAACAGG
rnacentral:rRNA from 1 species